rnacentral:rRNA from 1 species
UACGGGGGGGGCAAGCGUUGUUCGGAAUUACUGGGCGUAAAGGGCUCGUAGGUGGCCAACUAAGUCAGACGUGAAAUCCCUCGGCUUAACCGGGGAACUGCGUCUGAUACUGGAUGGCUGGAGUAUGGGAGAGGAAUGCGGAAUUCCAGGUGUAGCGGUGAAAUGCGUAGAUAUCUGGAGGAACACCGGUGGCGAAGGCGGCAUUCUGGACCAUUACUGACGCUGAGGAGCGAAAGCCAGGGGAGCAAACGGG